AAGUCGUAACAAGGUUUCCGUAGGUGAACCUGCGGAAGGAUCAUUAAAAUACCGAUAAAACACUGCUUUUGGCACUAAACACACAAACCUUUUUUUUCUUUUUUUCCUUCUAGUUUCACUUUUGUGAAAAAUAUAAAAAACAAAAA
rnacentral:misc_RNA from 1 species